AGUAGCUGUCAACAUUGGGGAUUGGCCAGUUGGGGGGGUGGGACUGAGUCUGAAGCAGCCUCCAGAGACAGCACAGGGGUGGUCCAACCAGGAGGCAAUAGGAAGAAGGCUUGGCAGGGGGUCAGAGUUCAGUAUCCGGCUGGAGAUAGUCUACUACUGGUAGCUAUUCAAUGAAAGAGUGGACAUCGAGUCAUGGGAAUUUGGUACAGGGAUUAUACCAAGAGAGGAAAUAGUAACAUUCCAGGUAAAGAGGAAAAAGCAUACAGAGUAGGAAUCCAAGAUGUAGCUCAGGAAGGCACAGGGAGGAGCCAAAUAGAAUCCAGAAUGGAUGUAAUUAUAAGGUAAUGAGGGCUGAAUCCAGUUACUGGAAAGAACGAGCCUUGAGAGUAACUAGCCGAAGGCUGCAUUUAGUUCCUCUUCCUAGGACAUGUCUGGCAGCUCAGAGGGAGGUGAAGAGGCUGUUUACUAGCUAAACAGGCAGGUGGGCGGCAGGGGCAGCGAGUCAGGCAGGUCCUCACUGUUGAAUUACCAAUAAUCUCCGAGUGUCUGAAUCCACCAACAAGCAAGCAGGGCCCAAAUGGAGAAAGCCUGUUUGCAACAGCCCUUAUAAGAGACUUCUGUUGUUCUUGUCUGUCUAGCACCUCUUCUCCUUCUGCUGCCAACGGAACUACUUUUUAGUGGGGAACCCCCAACUUCCGAGAGUAGUGAGCGUGUGACCUGAGCCCAGUCAAUCAGAGUGCUCCAUUUCCUUGGUUUGAGGAAGGGCGGGAAACCUAGAAAGGCCAAUCAGAUUCUUCCUUGAGAUUUGAUAUUUCGGUGAGUAGUUGGGGGGAGCAGAGCUCUCUCUCAAUCUUGGGAUCACAAGCUGUAAAGACGAUGUAGACUGGAGUUGCUUUGUGUCACCUUUCCUGGAUGCAUGGGGAAAGCCAUCUGCAGUAAGAGAGAAUGAGCCCAAUAUUAAGAGAGAAUCAGAAAUGAAGAGGGAUGAGAGAUAGGGUCCUAAGGACAUUUCUUGGGCACUAAAUCCAGUCACAGCCAUCCCUGCUCUUUUGUGAGCCAAUAAGUUCUCUUUUACUUAAGCCAGUUUCAAGCCAAUUUCACUUGGGGUUCUGUUACUUGCCACGUAAGGAAAUCAGACUAAUAUGUUUGCUUACUUACUGGUUCGUAGCAAUACGUAUCCGUUGCCUCCAUCCACAGCGAGCCUGAAAUUUAUGUUUGGACUGAAAAUACUUGCUCAAGUCUGACCUCCAUUGCUCUUCAUGAGAACACACUGACCACCUGGGCGAGCCUACGGCCAGUGCCACUGUCUGGCAAAAUCUCGGUUCAAUGAUCAGCUCACACUCAACAAGUCCGAAACAGAACUCAUCAGUCUCCUGGUACUGUUGAUGGCACUACCAUUGUGCCAGUCAUCUGCCCUUGACAAUCUCCACAUUAUUUGGGCUGCCCUUCUUUCCCUCAUCCUCCAUGUACACUGAGUCAUGGAGCAAAAUCCCUUUCCUUCAUAAUGUCUGCGUGUGCCAGAAGCUGCGUGAGCUUCUGAAGGUAGAACAAAAAUCAAGAUGUGAUCCCUGACUUGAAGAGUUUGGAUCCUACCAGAGGAACAAUCCAAGGCAGAAAGUGCUGAGUGCCACAUCAGCGGCAGCAGAGAAAGGACUAAGGGAGCCUGUGCCCGGGCUGGAGAGAAGAACACAGUGGUUCCAUGCUCAGGUACUGUAUAGUCUUGGGUUUGAACCCUGACUCCGUAACAGAAUAUCUGUAGAUCUUUGGCAAAUUUUUUAACCUCUCUAGGCCUCACUUUCCUCACGUGGGGAAUAAAGAUGGAUAGUAGAACUUGCCUGACAGGGUAUUGCGAGACUCAAAUGAAACAUUUUCAUGAAUCCCUUAGCAUCAUUUUAGUCAUCACUGCAAACGUGGUAGAUGGAUGCGUUAAUGACCCCCCUGUAUCCAUGUGCUUUCCAAUGGGACUUUGCAGCUCUUCCCAUUGUAAAGUGGACUCCAUUUCCCCACCCUUGAAUCUGGGCUGGCCUUAUGACAUUCUUUGGCCAACAGAAUGUGGCAGAAGUGAUAGUGUGCUAAUUGUCAGUCUAGGCCUCAAGAGGCCUAGCACAUUUCCACUUUCUCUCGGGACCUCUGCCUUUGCCAUAAGAACAAGCCCAGGAGAGCUGCUGGAGGAUAAGAGACCUUGUGGAGUAGAGAGGAAACUCCCCAGAGGAGGCCCUCUUAGACCAACCAAUCUGCCAGUUGUCUACAGAGACAUGAAUGCGUCCAGCUAAGAUCAGAA
ensembl:lncRNA